GACGAACGCUGGCGGCGUGCUUAACACAUGCAAGUCGAACGGAAAGGCCCUGCUUUUGUGGGGUGCUCGAGUGGCGAACGGGUGAGUAACACGUGAGUAACCUGCCCUUGACUUUGGGAUAACUUCAGGAAACUGGGGCUAAUACCGGAUAGGAGCUCCUGCUGCAUGGUGGGGGUUGGAAAGUUUCGGCGGUUGGGGAUGGACUCGCGGCUUAUCAGCUUGUUGGUGGGGUAGGGGCUUACAAAGGCUUUGACGGGUAGCCGGCAUGGGAGGGUGACCGGCCACAAUGGGACUGAGAGACGGCCCAGACUCCUACGGGAGGCAGAAGUGGGGAAUAUUGCACAAUGGGCGGAAGCCUGAUGCAGCAACGCCGCGUGCGGGAUGACGGCCUUCGGGUUGUAAACCGCUUUCGCCUGUGACGAAGCGUGAGUGACGGUAAUGGGUAAAGAAGCACCGGCUAACUACGUG
rnacentral:rRNA from 1 species